UGAAAAACUAAUCAAACAGAAAAGAUAUUUGAGCAAGAGCAAUUGGUGGUCCUUUUUAGUAUCUAUAAUGGAAGACGAAGAGUCCAAUUUUAUGAUGUUGAUGAACUGUGGCACAUUCAGGACCAUCAUGGAGUCUGGAAAUAACAAAAUAAGACGCAGGAGACCCUGUCAUUGGGUGAGCCCAUAUCUCAAAGCAAGGAAUGAGAAGGGGAGGUUUUUCAUCGAUUUAAAAAACUUGCGAAAAGAUUAUGUAAAUUCUACAUCUGGAUCUGUUCCAUUGCAAAAUAAUGCAACAUUUCUUUGAAUUUUUCAAUAUUUAUGUUUAUUUAUAAAAACAAUAAUUACUAUUUAUUUUA